rnacentral:lncRNA from 1 species
GACUCCUGGGUUGCUAAGAAACCUCGAAUCUUGCCUGCCUCAAGGAAAGAAGACCAGAGAAACACCCCGGAGGAGGCUCGGUCUGGAAUGUAACUAUGGGAGGCACAUGCUUUCUAGAAUGUUCAGAUCAUAAUGAAGCAGAUUGUGAUAGGCCAGGAAGCUGUGAUCUGGACACAGCUCUCCACAGACACAAUGAAGAGCCUUGGCAGAUCGUGAAACGUGUCAGGCUUCCCUGCCUUCCUUUAGCUUGGGGUUCCAUCUAGUUCAGACAGUCCACGGGGCACCAGGGUUAAAAUGUAAGUCACUGCAGCUGACAUCUGGGAGGAAGUAGAACACCUCUGUGGAGGGGAUGAUAAUGGGAGAAUCUGGAGAAGAGACAAGAGCGUCUCCAGAUCACGUGACACUUCGGGAAGCGAGAGGGCGUGGCUCGGGACGGAGGUGUUUCUUCCAGAGCUACAAGAAAGAGCCAAGUAGGGGAUUUCUGUGCUCACCUCGGGAACGGAUCUCCUUCUCCUCUGUUAACCUUUCUAUCCUGUGAGGGAGUCAGUCCCUGGAUUAUAAAUUCUGGAUUAUAAAUUCUGAGGCGCUUGGUUCCUGUUUCUUGAGGGGAGGCAGAGACACCAAAACCUUUGAAAUAAGACAUACUGAAUGAGAACAGAACAAAGUUGGGUCUGUCCCUUUAUUCUGUUUCUGGCAGUCGUGGUGGAGAGAUGCUUUCUGGGAAGAACUCAGUAGUUGCCUCUGCUGAAGUCAAUUUCUAAAGACAUUAUUGGAUUCCAAAGGGUAGAGGCAACCCUGAAGACGUGUGGCUGCGUUCUGCCCUCAUCCAUCAGCCGUGGACUCCAAUGGGGAUGUCAUGUUCUCCAUAGAGGCAUCUCUGCUGGGCCUCUUUCCUUGGCUCUGCGCAAGAAUCUAUGACCCUGGAAAAGUCAUGCAAUCUCUCAGUGUAGGCUUCCUAGACUAACAGACAGAAGCAGAGGCUCACGGGGCAAUAGGUUCUGAAGGCUGGGACUGUACCCCAGUCACUGUUGCUCCUCCAGGGCCCGAGAUGGUCCUUUGCAUGUCAUCGUGAGUCAGGAAAUGGCUGUCAAAUGGGAGAGAGAAAAAAGAGGCAACAGAGCACCAAGCCCAAUGACCUAAGUUUGACACCCAGAAAACUGUGGAAUCAGAGUCUCAAGUCUUGUUAUUUGUCCUCUGAUCUCUAUGUGUGCCAUGGUACAUGAAAACACACUAAAUAUAUGUUUAAAAACAGGGUCUACAAGGAAGAAAGCAACAGGCAGGGCAGGUGUUAAAGAUGUGCAGUUCUGGAAGGGAGCAGCAGCAAGUUUAAAGCUGCAGCGGAGGCAAUGAUGAGAUACCAACUGUAAUUCUUAAGAGGAAACAUUCCUUCGUCCAAGGGGAC